CAGCUGUAAGCAACAAGGCUGAAGUCUCUGCUGCUCCACAACCUACCUGCCAGUUUGGUCACAGGAACCUGCGUGUUUCAGAUAAGAUACCUCUUGGAUACCUCUUGAUUCACUCUUCUUCCUGCCACUGUGGUGAGGAUCAUUGAGUCUUUGACCAGCUUUAUGCAGCUGAAAUGGAAGCAUCUAAAAUGGUGGCUUGAGCAGCCCUGGAGGACCACAGCAU
rnacentral:lncRNA from 10 species